GGGUCGGUGGUCUAGUCCGGUUAUGACGGCUCCUUCACACGGAGCAGGCCCCAAGUUCAAAUCUUGGCCGACCCAC
rnacentral:tRNA from 1 species